CGGCAAACGAGGGAUAGAAGACCGGAAGUUACGACGCACAGGUGCAGGAGUGAAAUAAAAAAAAAAACAAUUUACAACCCCUGCCCUGGGUGCGACCUGCCCUCAACCCGUUGUUAGAAUGGGCUUCAACACAGAAAAGGAUAAAGUACAGUGCUGAAACCUACCAGCGGUAUCAGUCUGCAGUAUAACCAGGUGAUGGAAACCAAUCAAAGUGAGUGUGCAGAAAAUACAUUAUACCACUAUAUAUCUUUUGACUCUGGGGACACUGGGUUUUGACAGCACACAAGGGGAUAUUUUUCCACCUGAUUUAUGUUUUAUUUUAGCUGCACUCUGCAAACUUGUAAGCAGUUCAUGCCAGAACUAUUAACUCCUGAACCUUUUCACAUAUAGCCUCUUUUUUUUCAUCUUGUGGGCUUCUGUCCAACAGAACUGUCCAUAUUCGAUGGCUGUUUUUGCAGAAAACAUUUGCUCAAUUUCAUGAACAUUUUCUACCCUGCCACUGUCAUUAUCUUUUUGGGUGGACGUAGGUCGUACAGAAUGAGAUUUCGAAUGCUUUGUUCAAACUCCAUGUUUAUAUACCAAACACACGAACGUGCGACUCUCUGCCACUGCCCUGAAUAAUGCAGUGUUAGCCCAAGUGUACAGUGGCGAAGCCUUUUCAAAUAUAGCUUUUGGAAACCUUUACACACCAGACGAAGCAAACAGUUGACUGACAUUCUGACGUCCUACGCUAACUCUGACAUGGCGAGCAUCGUCUGACAACAUAACACUUUGUGCAACACUGUAAACACAAUCAUAUCCCGAUCCACAGAAGGUCAAGUGUUGACUUUGACAAAGGCCAAAUCACUUUUCCAAACCCACCGUUCCUUCUGUCUCCUUCUGUCCUGUCUCACUCUCAUUCUCAGCUGUCUGUCUCAACCCAUUAUGUUAUAACUAUUCUUAGUCUUCGCACCAGGAUUUUAAUUGUGCCACCAUUUGUCACAGAUACCAAUCAAAACACCAAUCACACAGCCACACAUUUAGAUGGUGUCAAAUAUAAAUGAGAGACAAUUAUUUAGUCUUCCUCACAGAUCCUUCUUCACAAGUCAUACACCUGGAGAGUGUGUGCUCCUGCGCAGAGUGUGCACUAAUGAUAUCAUCUUGAUGACCUGUGUUGCUUCUACCGCUUUCAGGUCAAUUCCAGGUGCUUCAGGUCCAGCCUGCACGAUAUGGAGUGGAUGUCAAUCACUGUUCGCGAUCAACCUGAGCUUUGGCACCGUUCCUUGACACCAGCGUCAGAGAGAGAGAGACAGAGGCUAAUUCAAACCCAAGAACGUCACCAGCUUUUCCUGUGGGAGGCAGCCUAUCGUUGAGACCUAUCGCCGCUGUGUUCCUCAGAGCACUUAUAUAAUAUGAAUAAAAAGACAGCUGUCUGAGACAAGAUGAUGCUUUCACUGGAGACCUCACUCCUUUCACUCUCAUGCUCACUAGCUCCUUACUUGCCAUUGAACAGCCCAGAAAUGGGGCAGAUAAGAGUUCAGUGAGGAAGCACAGGCUUCGGGAGGUCUGGUGGGAGGCAGCAUGUUUCUUAGGGCGCCGUCAAAAAAAUCUUUUGAUGCAUAAAAAUGUAACGGCAAGCAGAGUGAAGAGAGCACGGAAAUGUGUGGAGGACAAAUAUCUGUUGAUUGAAGUUGAAUUUCUGCACAAAGGGGUUCGUAAAUGAUCCCAUCACUGCCAUUUCAGUAGAAAUUAGUGUGGGAGAAUAUUAAAAACGGUGAGAAAGAGGAUUAAACUGGGAUAAAAUAUGAUCCAAAAAGUCAAUUACCUGUAGCUAAAAGAAAUGACUCACUGGUAUACAGAGGAAAUCACCAUGUCCUGUCCCCACUACAAGAAUUAACUGUCUAUUAUAAAAGUAUUAAUAAUCUCCUAAGUGCACUGUUGAUGAUAAAUCACUGCAGAGAGUCACAGCAAGGGACAAUAAAGUUGGCUGGCACCAAAAGCCUGUCUAUCAAUCCAUCCAUCCAUCCAUUAGCCAUACUUACGAUGCUUUUCAGGGUCAGCGAGGACGCUGAUGUCAAUAUCAGCUGACAAUGUGCAUGGGACAUCCAUCAGGCCAACAAAUCAAAUUGUGGUCGCAAAAGCGUAAAAAAUAAAUAAAUUAAGUUGUGCUGCCAUAGCUGAAAUAUAAUAGAAAUAUAAGAAUAUAAAAUAUAAUGAUGGACACAACAGCUAAUCUGUGGAAGUUAGGGCCGUAAUCAACCAAAGAAAGUAAAGGAAGUGUGAAGUUUCGACUGCUAAUCCACCAAUCAGCAUAUGUAUAGAUAGAUAAAUAGAUGGAUGGAUAGAUAGGUAGUUAUAACAUAUAUUUAUAUGCGUAUAUAUAGCGUAUAUAUCGCUGAAAUAACUAUUUAUUUAUUUAUAACUAAAAAAAUGAAAAAUACAAUGGUGAAACAGCUGGUUGGCAGUUUGUGUUUAAAUUAUUUAUUCUUUUAUCAAAGAAAAAGUUGUAAGAGACUAAAAAUUUUUUUUUAAUGUGACUGUCAGCGGUCGACUGUAGGGGGCGCGCUGUUAUUGGAAUGUUUGUGUAACGGAAGUAGGAAUACGUUGUACGGUCCUUAUUUCCGGUCGCCGAUCCAGCACACGAGAGACGAGUGUUAGCCGUUUGGGCUUCCAGCGGGCGUUCAAGUAAAAGAAAACUGGGCACAGUGGCUACAUGUGAUUGAUUGAAAUGCCCAUCCUACUGCAGGGUCACGGACGGUCCAUCACUCAGAUGAAGUUCAACGGAGAAGGAGACCUUCUGUUUUCCGACUUUCAACAAUGUCUCCCCACAACAGGUGGCCAACGUGUGGUACUCGGUACCUACGACGGACACAUGGGAGCUGUGCGGUGCAUCGACUGUGACUGUAUCCUUUAUUAUUUAGCUGCUGUCGUGUCCUCACCAAGGAUGUCAUCAGUUGAUCUCACUAAUAAUUAGUGAUAUGAAGGCCCUGACAUUUCCUGAGUAGUGUCAGAAAAUAUAAUUGAAGGUGAACUCAAACAAUAAAUGCAAUAAACAAGAGAAGACUGACAUACGGCAACAAUGUUAUGACAUUAAAGGUUAUGUUAUCUUGAUUUCAUGCUAUUAUAUAUAUAUAUAUAUAUAUAUAUCAGAAAACCUCUGCAUUUGUUUUCUUGUUUCAGUGACGUUUCACACAGCAUGAUGUGAUUCAGUUCUGCUAACUGUUCCCGAACUGUGUGGUAAGUUUUGAACUUUUAUCACUAAAAAUGUGAUUAAAGUAAAAACUGGUUUUA